rnacentral:lncRNA from 1 species
AUUUGGCACAGGGUCAUUGAUCUUAGUGCUAGCCCAAAGUAGCAGUGGAAAAUUCUGCAAUGGCCUCCCAGAGAUAUGCAUUUGAAUUAAAUUGUUCCCCAUGCUGGGCAUAGGACAAGCAUGGUACUUGUCCCUAAAACUGACCUACCAAACUUUAGGUAGAUAUCCAUUCAUCAGGUAAUCCUCUAAGAAAGCUUUCUUUUUCAAUCAAUAUUUCUCUGUCCUGAGGACUGUUGUCCAUUAUACAAAACACAGCAGCAAUAUUUCAAAGAAAAAUUCUUACAACCUCGCAGAGAUUACAUGGGACUUUAAAUGAUGGUGUGAAUUGGAAAUAACAUCUGGAGAGGAGAUCCCAUUGGAAUACACUAUGGAAAUUUUGUUCUAAGCAGUAGAUCCUUCAAAUAAGUGACUAGAGGAUAUAGUACCAGCAAUACCAAUUAGGACCAUGACGUCACUGCAAACUUGCCAUUGAAGGUUGCUUAAUCUUUGUGGCCAAGUGAGAACUAUUGUGCAGCUAUUAAAUGAUUUUUUUUUAUGCUGAACUUGAUGCAUCUUUUGUGGAUCUAACCUAGACAUCUUUUGUUUGGAGCACAAAGGUUUAGUAUAUUGAGCCUUGAGUUUUUAGAUGGCGCAUUUAAAACCUUAACUAUUUUAUACACGAUAGCACUGUUACAGGAACACGAGGAAAAAGAAUAUAAAAUGUUGUAUUCAAGCCCCAAAGCUCAACGUGGUAAUGAAGGUCGCCUCCAAUGUUCAAAGUUUGGUUGGCUUUGUGUAGCUGCUGAGGAGACCUGCAUGGGAAGUGGGACCUUUCCCAGGAAUUGUGAGGCCACCUGCGACUUUAAACCUUCCUUCCUUCUACAAGUUAAAUGGUACCAUGAGGAUUCCAGUACUAGGAAUGCUGGUAUGUCUGAUCCCUCUGCUUGAGUUCAGGGAAAUGGUUUUAAAUGGGUUAGAGAUUGAGCUCA